AAGCUUCUUCUUUUGAACCAACAAUGUCAAAGACAGUUUUAUAUGCAUUAGCCAUAUUUUCCUUUACCUUUUUCAUACCUUUGUCAUAUGGCCAAACUCCAAGCUUGGAAAUUGAAGUUGCUGCUUUGAAAGCUUUCAAGAACUCAAUCUCUGAUGACCCUUUUGGUGCACUUGUGGAUUGGACUAAUGCAAAUCACCAUUGCAACUGGUCUGGAAUUACAUGUGAUCCUUCUUCAAACCAUGUCAUCAACAUUACGCUGUUUGAGACGCAGCUCAAAGGCGAAAUCUCUCCGUUUUUGGGAAACCUCUCCAAACUCCAGGUUCUUGAUCUAACUUUGAACUCAUUUACUGGAAAUAUUCCACCUCAGCUGGGGCAUUGCACAGAGCUGGUUGAGCUCAUUCUUUAUGAAAACUUGCUUUCUGGUGAAAUUCCUGCUGAACUCGGAAACCUCAGAAACCUGCAGUUAAUAGAUUUUGGAAAUAACUUUCUGAAUGGGAGUAUACCUGACAGUAUAUGCGACUGCACUGAAUUGUUGUUAGUAAGCCUCAUCAACAACAGUUUCACAGGCAAAUUACCAUCUGAUAUUGGUAAUUUGGCUAAUCUUCAGUUGUUUGUAGCUUAUGAAAACAAUUUCAUUGGUUCUAUUCCUACCUCCAUUAGAAAGUUAACAGCUUUGCAAACCCUUGAUCUGAGCGAAAACCGAUUGUCUGGACCUAUACCACCAGAAAUUGGCAACUUGUCAAGUUUAGAAACUCUUCAGUUGCAUCUCAACUUCCUUUCUGGUAAAAUUCCAUCUGAACUUGGCCUCUGCACCAAUCUUGUUACCUUGAACAUGUAUACUAAUCAAUUCACUGGAAGCAUACCUCCUGAGCUUGGAAAUUUAGAAAACUUGCAAACGCUUAGAUUGUAUAACAAUCAGUUGAACUCCAGUAUACCAGCCUCAUUGUUCCACCUUAAGUCAUUAACUCAUUUAGGACUCUCACAGAAUGAGCUAACUGGCCAAAUUCCUCCCGAGUUGGGAUCUUCAAUGUCACUACAAGUGCUUACCCUCCACUCAAAUAGGUUGUCCGGGGAAAUUCCAUCAACUAUAACAAAACUGACAAACUUGACAUAUUUGUCUUUGAGCUUCAAUUUAUUGACCGGAUCACUUCCAUUAGAAUUUGGGUUGCUCUAUAACCUGAAGAAUCUAACUGCAAGUAACAACCUCCUAGAGGGAUCUAUUCCAUCUAGCAUAACAAAUUGUUCACAUCUUCUAGUUUUGACCCUCACUUAUAAUAGAAUAACGGGGGAAAUACCCAUUGGGUUGGGGCAGUUGUCCAAUCUUACAUUUUUGUCUUUGGGAUCAAACAAAAUGGUGGGGGAGAUUCCUGACGAUUUCUUCAACUGCUCAAUGCUUGAAGUUCUAGAUCUGAGUGAUAACAAUUUCAGUGGGAAACUCAAACCGAUGAUUGGCAGACUUUCUAAACUUCGAGUUCUAAGAGCCCGUACUAAUUCCUUUCUUGGGCCAAUCCCACCAGAGAUUGGUAAACUGAGUCAACUGAUGGAUUUAGUGCUUGACGAAAACAGUUUCUCAGGUGUGAUACCACCAGAUAUUUCAAUGCUUUCAGACCUCCAGGGUCUUUCGCUGUAUGACAACAAGCUGGAAGGUAAACUUCCGGUGCAACUUUUUGAGCUUAAACAACUCAAUGAACUCCGGCUGCAGAACAAUAAUUUCUUAGGUCCAAUACCUCACCAGAUAUCCAAAAUGGAGUUACUCUCGUUGCUGGAUCUGAGCGGGAAUAAGCUU
rnacentral:lncRNA from 1 species